GCAUAGGCUGGCAGCUUUAGCUCUGAUUCGACCCUGAGCGUGGAGUAGCCAUACGCCAUAAGAGUGGCCCUAAAAAGCAAAAACAAAAAACAAAGAAACUAAAUACGUACUGCUAAAUGCCUAACUUUUAUAGAGUUUUGCAGUUAACAAAGCACUUUGAUGUAUAAUAAUUUUAUAGGAAGAUAUAUCUAUCUGUCUAUGAAAGGACUUUGUAAAUUCUGAAGCACCAUGUGAGUAUUCAUAUUUUUAUAACCAACUGAAGUUAUAAUGAUGAAUCAGGAUCUUCUAAAUUCAGAUAAUAUACUUCUGGUUAGCUAAAGUAAAAAUUUUGGAAUGUUUUCUGACUAGUGUUAAGAUUUAUUUUAAAUUAAAUUGCAAUAACAUCUGAUUUCUACAUUACUAUUCUCAUUAUUUAAAGAAAUAGAGAAAGUGACUCAGUAAAAGUCACGAGUGGUUAGAGUGCUUGGGGGCUAAUGUCAUUUCUGGGAACUACGGUAAGAGUCUUAUUCCAUUGAGAGUAAGUUUAUCGAUUAUUGAAAAAUCAGUGUGGUUAUUUAAAAAUAAAUAUAUUUAGCACUUUAUGUUUACAAAGUAACCUACAAUUGCUAAUAAGCAUACAUCAAAAUUUAUCACUAUAAAGGACUGGAAUAGUGCCUUUAUUGGUCAGCUUUAACAGGAUUUCCAGAUACCAUUGUGAUGACUCAUUCUAACUCUGUGGUUAGUUGAUAUUUGUAUACUGCAGGGCGUCAUCAAAGCUUAUUCCAUUGUUUAGUUGCACCAGCAUUUUCCCAGAGAAAUUAUUCUGAGAAAAAAACUUCAGAAAAAAAAAACAAAAAACUUUUUCUAUGCAUUUGUUUCAGAAUCUCAGUUUCUAGGACCUAGAAUUUCUUUCUAAAGUGUAACCUAAAUAUUUGUCUUCAGAAGUUAAAUACAUAAUGAUUUCUAAGGUAAUCACUAUUUAAAGCAUUUUGUAAUGAAAUAGUCUUUGGUUCAAGAUUUUUAUAUUCUACUAGUGGCUAUAAAACAUAUUUAAGAGAAGAUCACCAUGGGCGUUCCUGUCGUGGCGCAUCAGAUUCGUUUCCUCUGCGCCCCGAUGGGAACUCCUAAAGAAAAUUUUUUAAUAGCCAGUCAUAAUCCCCAAAUCUUAUGGUUUUCGAUAUUGAGUGUGCAUAGAAAUCCCCUGGAGGGCUUGUUGGGCUGAGCUAAAGGGAGAGAUGGAACUUGGGCUAGGUAGGUAAGAUUUGAACAGUAAGGAUUAGGGAAGCAAUUCGAGUAUUAGUAUAGAAGGAGUAAAUACAUAAAAGCAGAAAAAGCGUAACUUUGUUUUACUUCUGUUAAAUUAAUCAGCUUACUUGGAACAGGAGUUUUUACUGAGGGUGGAAAAUUAGGUUAAAGGGGAAGUAAUAACUAGAUUAAGAAGGUCCUUGGAGGUCAGAGAGAGACAUUUCUUUUUCCUUUUGUAGGUGGUUAGAUGCCUGGAACUUAUAACCGAAGGCUUGUAGUAUUUGACCAACAUUUGCUCAUUUCCCUACCCUGCUAACUACCAUUUUCUCUGUUUCUCAAAGUUCAACCUUUUUUUUUUUUCUUUUUUAGAUUCUACAUAUAAAUGAGAUCAUACAGUAGUCAUGUUGUGUCUGCCUUAUUUCACUUAGCAUAAUGUCUUCCUCCAUGUCAUCACAUAUGGCAGAAUUUCGCUCUUUCUUAUGACUGAAUAAUAUUCAUUCAUCAGUUGACACUUAGGUUGUUUCUAUAUGCUAUGUUGGCUAUUGUGAAUAAUGAUACCCUUAAAGUUUUUAUAUUUCACUAGAUUUGUGUCGUGCCUAUUUAUGCAGAGACUUGAAUUAGGUACCAAUUAGAGUUCAAGGUGAAUAACAUUGACCCACAUCUGAGGAAACCCUGUGUAAUAAUUUACAUUAUACAAUGUAGGUCUGGUUUUGAAAUAAUGGUUCUUCCCUUAUAUUAGUGCCAAAUAUAAGAUAGAAUCCUUUAUAAAAUAAGAGUUCCCAUUGUGGCUCAGCGGAAACGAACCCGACUGGUAUCCAUGAGGAUGCAGAUUCAAUCCCUGGCCUUCAUCAGUGGGUUAAGGUUCCCGUGUUGCUGUGAGCUGUGGUAGGCUGGCAGCUGUAGCUGCAGUUCAACUGGUGUGGCCCUAAAGAGACCAAAAAAAAAAAAAAAAAAAAAA
rnacentral:lncRNA from 1 species